UACGUAGGGUGCGAGCGUUGUCCGGAAUUACUGGGCGUAAAGAGCUCGUAGGCGGUCUGUCGCGUCGGCUGUGAAAACUCGGGGCUCAACCCCGAGCCUGCAGUCGAUACGGGCAGACUAGAGUGCUGUAGGGGAGACUGGAAUUCCUGGUGUAGCGGUGAAAUGCGCAGAUAUCAGGAGGAACACCGGUGGCGAAGGCGGGUCUCUGGGCAGUAACUGACGCUGAGGAGCGAAAGCGUGGGGAGCGAACAGG
rnacentral:rRNA from 1 species